GCGGUGCGGUGCGACAUCCGGCAUGGCGCAGGAGGGAGGGUGCGGCGGGGUGCUGCCGACGAGGCAAGGCAUGGUGCUUCCGUCGGUAGCAGAGUGUGAGGUCGUCGAGGUUGUACGAUGAACCGUCUCAUUGGACCCGAAGUUGUUGGCCACCGCUCCUCCAACGAGCGUGAGGUCGUCGGCAGCACGUCGGAGCACGAGUCGCUGCU
rnacentral:lncRNA from 1 species